rnacentral:rRNA from 1 species
AAAACUCAAAGGAAUUGACGGGGGCCCGCACAAGCGGUGGAACAUGUGGUUUAAUUCGACGCAACGCGAAGAACCUUACCUGGGUUUGACAUCCCCGGCCGACACCAGAGAUGGUGUUUUCUCUUCGGAGACCGGGUGACAGGUGCUGCAUGGCUGUCGUCAGCUCGUGUCGUGAGAUGUUGGGUUAAGUCCCGCAACGAGCGCAACCCUUGCCCUCAGUUGCCAGCAGUUCGGCUGGGCACUCUGGGGGGACUGCCGGUGACAAGCCGGAGGAAGGUGGGGAUGACGUCAAGUCCUCAUGGCCUUUAUAUCCAGGGCUACACACGUGUUACAAUGGGGGUCACAAAGGGCAGCGAAACGGUGACGUGGAGCGAAUCCCAAAAAAGCCCUCUCAGUUCGGAUCGCAGUCUGCAACUCGACUGCGUGAAGCUGGAAUCGCUAGUAAUCGCGGAUCAGCACGCCGCGGUGAAUACGUUCCCGGGCCUUGUACACACCGCCCGUCACACCAUGGGAGUUGACAGGGGCAGAAGCCGCCGAGCC